AUUGAACGCUGGCGGCAGGCCUAACACAUGCAAGUCGAACGAGUGGCGGACGGGUGAGUAAUGUCUGGGAAACUGCCUGAUGGAGGGGGAUAACUACUGGAAAUGGUAUCUAAUACCGCAUACCAUCAGAUGUGCCCAGAUGGGAUUAGCUAGUAGGUGGGGUAACGGCUCACCUAGGCGACGAUCCCUAGCUGGUCUGCGAGGAUGACCAGACACACUGGAACGGAGACACGGUCCAGAAUCCUACGGGAGGCAGCAGUGGGGAAUAUGGCACAAUGGGCGCAAGCCUGAUGCAGCUAUGCCGCGUGUAUGAAGAAGGCCUUCGGGUUGUAAAGCACUUGCAGCGGGGAGGCGUUACCCGCAGAAGAAGCACCGGCUAACUCCGUGCCAGCAGCCGCGGUAAUUC
rnacentral:rRNA from 1 species